CCGCGCCUCGCCGCUACGCGCGCACUGCGCAUGCGCGCGGCCAGCAGGGAACGUCACCGGAUCGCUCGUUAAAGGGACCCGGGAUGGCGUCACAGGUGGCGGGGACAACCUUCAAACACGGCCAACGCCGACGUCACGCGACGGACUCAGCAGCCCAUCUGGCUGCCUUUGAGACCUUCCGCCACUUGUGGGCAACGCUCAAUCGCUCCGCAUGUGGAGUGGCGGUCAGAUGUUCCGCAAAGUGACUGGCAAGUGGAUCCUCCGUGACCCCCUCGCUGUCGUCACCGCUCCCACCGCCGAGGAGUAACUCGCCAAGACGGCCGAGCUCCUGCGGAGCAGCGACGCUGUCAGAACGCGUCACGCUUACAUCUCCACUCUCCUCGCCCGAGACUCCCUCCUCCCCUGCGUCUCCACCCCCCCUCCCCUCCCCACAUCCCUGCGGCCCCCAGCACCCACGCCGAGGCAGGGCAUCGUCGGCAUUGGUGGCCAACCCGCUGCUGGAUGAAGGCCCUACCCAAGCCACCGCUGCCGCCGCCGCUACUGCCGCCGCUUCUCGCGAUCCUGCAGCAGAAGUCCGUGCGUGUUGUACGAUACGAGGCGACGCGGUGAAAAUAAUCGAGGAGGCGUCCCGUGAUCGAUGUCCUCCCCCAGCCGACGCCAUGGCUGGUGGAGCCAGAGCUGCUGGCGACUGGCUGGAAGGUCGUAGUUCACGGGGUGCCCCGAUCCAGUUCUCCACGUGCUCGACGGUGAACUUCUUCCGCACCGCACGUAGCCAACCGUGCUCAUCGGAGAUGCAGUAGAGCUGCUCAGGCCUACAAGGCACUGACGCUUCUCCGCCUCGACAAUGCGGUUCACCACAGGAGGGGGGGACCGUGUAACCAUCCGGAAGGGAGAUCUGGGGGGCCAGGAGUCGGGAAUGUUAUUCUCUGAUCAGAGACGCGAAGCGAGCGGAGCAGCCGGAGCGUGGUGAUCCAGAGCGGAAUGUGGGCAGGAGAUGGCAGCGCGGCAAGUGGGUUCGUGUAGCCCCGUCUGUGCGGACCUUUGAGUCUCAUCCCCUCGUGUGUGCCUGGUGGGUUUUCUCCGGGAUGCUCCGGCUCCGUCCCACAUGGAGUCGAACAGUCGAUGAAGACGGCAUGCCCGGUGACGGGACUGCCGUGGCAGUGAUGUGCAUUUAAAGAACAACAAAAAAACACCGCGUGAUUCAUUAACACUCCCGUAAAGUAGCCGAACAGUCGAUGUUUCGGGAGACAGCCCUUCUUCAGAGUAAAGAGAGAGAUGAUUUAACUGUACAUCCCAAUGUUGCAGGGGAGCCUGCUGUUAAGAUAAAUUAAAUUACUCGGUGCGGCUUUCCUCCAUAAACGAAUGACACUCAUUUUCAUUGUGCCCGUGUCUCGCGCGGCACCGUAGGGGCAUUGCUUGGUAUUCAGUGUGUGCCAAUGCAAUCCGGUUGAUAUGUCAAUUCAAAGCCAUGUAUCUGCCACCAAUAUUAAACGCCCCAGUUCUCUCAUCGGGUUCGCACCGUGUGCAGAACGCUAUCCCGGGCUACGAGUCACUCAAAUUCUCCGGCCUCUUUCUCUCUCGUCGAAAGAAAGGCAAUUUCCCGAAACGUCAGUCUUAUAGAUUCCAAAUGUGCACAUAUUGUAAGACCACGUGAAUAACAACUGUGUAAACGUCGUUGCAUUAUUUGUACGCGACGUAUGUUAGGAACAUAUUCAUUAAUUGAUUAAUAGAUUACAAUAUAUAUUUAUGCACACAAACGUCGCAAAUUAGACGCUCAUGCAUAUUGUAGCUGGGCAGUUGUGGCUCUGCUGCACGUGGCUGCCUGUGACCCAGUACUGUGGAGGCAACAGCGAGGGUUGGUGGCUCGCACACAGAUGCUGUGAAACUCCCUUCCCGUGGGCGUUGAAGAGGAGCCAAUGUGGACUCCACCUGCGCCAUGGUGUAUGAUGGGAUAGCGUGUUUCCCCCUCGCACGCGUGGGGAUUCCUCCAGCUGCUCCGGUUUCCUCCCACAUGCAAACACCGGCCGAUGAACACCUUAAAAAAAAGAGACGACCGCAGAGCUCAUUGCGUGACUGCUGCUGCUGCCGCCUUCCACUCGUCCGUGGUUCCUCCGCGCGUCUCUGAGUCGUCCUCUCGUCAGCGGCGCGAGUGAGCAGCGGGCGGUGGAGGCGCGUUGCAAGUGGACGUCAUUAUUGGGCCAAAGAGAGGAAUGAAGACUAAUUGAAGAACGCAAACCAAACCGGACAGAAACACUACAAACGCGACAAGACCAAUAACAGAUUAAUAAAUACAUCACGACCACGGACCGGUGACAAAGGCAUCGCAUGGCCGGGUGGGGCGCAUCGCUUGGCGGUCGGCAGUGCUCCCUUGCGUCGUACGGGGGCCCCACGGAUUAAAUGGAGUGCUCUCGCAAUAACAUUCUUGAUAAUGAAGCAUCAUUUGCUGAAAACGCCUCGACUGUCGACAGCGACCUACCCCCACGGGGUCAAAACCGGUCCAGAGUUUUAUCCAAAACAUGAUUGAAAAAAAAACAUGUUGGUCUGGAAAGCCGAGAGAGCUGGUGGAUUAAAAACACAUUUGUGUUUAUCAUGUGUGUGUGGCGACGCAAGCAACGGAGUUGUAGCUUAUAUAUUAAUAUAUAUGUACUGUACACACACCGGUCGAUAUGCGGAGGAGAUAAAGAGCGAGAGAGGCACGAUGGGUUUUGUGUUGUUGUGUGAAAACAAACCCAGGGAUUUUGUAAACUCCACGAGGCCCCCGCCCUCCCAGUGCGGCGGAGAUUAUAUUCGCGUGAAGUGCAUCCAUGCGCGCUACCCCCGAACUCCCCACGCCCCCCCCCGCGAACCCGAUCGAUUAUUCCCCAUCGCGACGCGUAAUGAGAUGCCGUGACCGUCUCAGGUGACUUUGUUUUGAAGGCGGCUCGGCAGCGAGCGGCACCCCCAAUAAACAAGCCGUCGCUCGUUGCUGGAUGAGGGCCCUUCUUCCGCGACGCACUCGUGAUACCGGAGAUUUUUUGACGCGCACUGUUAGUUUUUACUUGAAUGCGUCGCAUGCUAUUCGUGAGCGGCAGGUUUCAUUUUAAGGCGCUGUUUGUGGAGUCAGUGACCUAUGGUGACCUAUAACCCGGGAAGGGCAGUCUCUAAACAGUGCAACGGUGGAUCCUCAUUGUGUUCACGGGAGGUUCCUGGUGGCUGCGAAUCAUACACACAGCGCCGUUUAAAAAAAAUAAAUCUGACUUGACCAUGCUGG